CAGUCGCCACGGUAAUACGAAGGGUGCAAGCGUUAAUCGGAAUUACUGGGCGUAAAGCGUGCGUAGGCGGUGAGUUAAGUCUGCUGUGAAAUCCCCGGGCUCAACCUGGGAAUGGCAGUGGAUACUGGCUCGCUAGAGUGUGUCAGAGGAUGGUGGAAUUCCCGGUGUAGCGGUGAAAUGCGUAGAGAUCGGGAGGAACAUCAGUGGCGAAGGCGGCCAUCUGGGACAACACUGACGCUGAGGCACGAAAGCGUGGGGAGCAAACAGGAUUAGAUACCCCGGUAGUCCCUGUCUCUUAUAA
rnacentral:rRNA from 1 species